UUAGAGGUCGCUCACGGGAAAUCGUGGGAAUAGGCGCAUGUCGAAUGGUGGAAUGCCAACAGGGCACAUGUCGACGGACGGGAGGUCGAUAGGUCCGAGCACCGCCACUGUCGAACAAGUCGCUGCCUGUCGAACGGGGGGAGGACGACAUGUCGCCGCCUGUCGAAUGGGGGAAUGUCGGUAGGUCCCCCCAGGCCAACAGCAUCUGCUUUUGCUUUCACCUUUUGCUUUCGCUUUUGCUUUCGCUUUUCCUUUUGUUUUCGUUUUUCCUUUCGCUUUUGACAGCCUAUAAACCGAACCACGGCUUCGUUUUUGGACCACAUCCCCGAGAAGGCGUACACCAUGUCGCUGUCCGUCGUAGAGUCGCCGGAGGGUGACUGAAGCAGCUAGCACGCCGGAGAGGAGGUUGAGGAGCUGCUGGCUAGCAGUAAAGAGGUGGCCACGGCCUACACCAGUGAAGGUAUGGCUGAUCAGACUGCAGUGCAGCAAUUGAUUGACCCAGACACUGAUCAGAACCACCGAUCGCGUCAUCUUAGUACAGGGACUUUCUGCAAUGCCCUAAAGAUGCGAGGACCGGAUCAAUAUUGGCGUACUAAUCCUCGUUGGAUUCCAAGGUUGAGAGCAGUUGGGCUGUUGACCUUUGCACGGCUGGUCGAGCCUUCACGUGGAAGGUCCGAAAGAAUCCUAAUUGACGGGCGCUUCUUAGUGCUCUUGUGGAUAUAUGGAGGCCAGAGACUCACACUUUCCACCUAACAGUUGGAGAGAUGGUGCCCAAUUUGCAGGAUGUGUCUUAUUUGUUGGGGCUGCCGCUAGCUGGGCCAGCAGUUGGCCCAAUUGUGGUACAUGCUAGAUGGGUCGAUGACCUUCUUGCCAGUUUUGCAGGUGUGCUACCCGAUGGACUUAAUGAUCUCACAGAUGGCCAUGGACCAACGAAGACCUGGCUCAAUCAGUUUCGGUAGGAUGUCUUCCCUGAUGACCAGGACGAGUGGAUACAGCAACGGCACUUAGUCGCUUACCUCCUGUGGUUGUUCGGAUGGGUGAUGUUCACGGGAACACAUGCCGACUUCGUGGACAAGCACUUCAUCCACUACACGGAGGAGAUUGCAACAUUGCCUAUGGACGAUAUUCCAUAGUACAGUUGGGGGUCGGCGGUACUUGCGGCAAUGAACGCUGGACUGUGCGAUGCUUGCGUGAGGAACAACAAGCAAAGUUCACUAAUAGGAUGUCCGUUGCUGCUUAUGUUAUGGGCACAUGAGCGGUUCGACAUUGGGAGACCUUAGCUCGACUCGUACGCAAGCUAUAGGGUGUCCGAGAUGUAUACAUCCAGUGUCGAUGACAUCGACGAUCGUCCCACUAUGGGAUAGUUGUGGACGCACCGUGAGGUUAUCUUAGUUCAAUUCUUUUGUAUUGUCAUUAUGAACGGUUUAGUACUAGUGAUAUA